CGAGUUAGCUCCAAACUCAAUCCAUACUCAAAGAGAUUUAAGAUGCUAAUAUUGUAAUUAUUUUUGCACCAACUUAAAUAAAC
rnacentral:lncRNA from 1 species